UGGCGAACGGGUGAGUAAUGCGUGACCGACCUGCCCUUUAGACGGGGACAACAUUCCGAAAGGAGUGCUAAUACCGGAUGUGAUCAUCGUGCCGCAUGGCAGGAUGAAGAAAGAUGGCCUCUCGAAGCAAGCUAUCGCUAAAGGAUGGGCCUGCGUCUGAUUAGCUAGUUGGUAGUGUAACGGACUACCAAGGCGAUGAUCAGUAGCCGGUCUGAGAGGAUGGACGGCCACAUUGGGACUGAGACACGGCCCAAACUCC
rnacentral:rRNA from 1 species